AAUUGGUAGACACGCUGCUCUUAGGAAGCAGUGCUCAAGCAUCUCGGUUCGAAUCCGAGUGGCGGCA
rnacentral:tRNA from 1 species